rnacentral:rRNA from 1 species
GGACUACUGGGGUAUCUAAUCCUGUUUGCUCCCCACGCUUUCGUGUCUCAGUGUCAGUAUCUAUCCAGAUAGUCGCCUUCGCCACUGGUGUUCCUUCCAAUAUCUACGCAUUUCACCGCUACACUGGAAAUUCCACUAUCCUCUACAGUACUCAAGUUAAACAGUCUUAAACGCAGUGCCCAGGUUAAGCCCGGGGAUUUCACAUCUAACUUAUUCAACCACCUACACACGCUUUACGCCCAGUCAUUCCGAUUAACGCUUGCACCCUCUGUAUUACCGCGGCUGCUGGCAC